AAACUAACUAGGAUUCCCUCAGUAGCUGCGAGCGAACAGGGAAGAGCCCAGCACCGAAUCCCGCGGCCGACAACGGGCGCCGGGAAAUGUGGUGUUCGGGAGGAUCUAUUAUCUCGAAGUCAUGCGGCGCGUCCAAGUCCUUCUUGAACGGGGCCACAGCCCAUAGAGGGUGCCAGGCCCGUAGCGACCGCCGCUGAUAGCGAGAAGAUCUCUCCUUAGAGUCGGGUUGCUUGAGAGUGCAGCCCUAAGUGGGUGGUAAACUCCAUCUAAGGCUAAAUAUGACCACGAGACCGAUAGCGAACAAGUACCGUGAGGGAAAGUUGAAAAGCACUUUGAAGAGAGAGUUCAAGAGUACGUGAAACCGUUUAGGGGUAAACCUGAGAAACCCGAAAGGUCGAAGGGAGAAAUUCAUUCGCGUUUCGCGAUCGGCAUUAGGUUCGAGAGCGACGGGGAGCGUUUCGGCGCUGUUCCGCGCCACGAGCUUAACGAUCCGGCCACGAACGCGUGCACUUUUCUCCUGGUAGGACGUCGCGAUCCGUUGAGUGUCGGUCUACGGCUGACGGUGGAGCCCGAGAGUACGAUUCGCGUCGUUGCUUUCGGACCCGUCUGUCCCGGCCGGCUCGCUCGACGGUACGCAAACGGUUUUAGGCCGCUCUUUCGAGCGUUCGACUCGCGGCAAGCGCGCCAUUCGUUGUCGGUGCGCGGACUUAGCGCCGCGCCUGACCUUUGGUGACUGUUGGCCGCGAUGUUCUCGAACAGACCUUUUACCGAUCGGCGACGCUAUAGCUUUGGGUACUUUCAGGACCCGUCUUGAAACACGGACCAAGGAGUCUAGCAUGUGCGCGAGUCAUUGGGAAUCACUAAACCUAAAGGCGUAAUGAAAGUGAAGGUUCGCUUCGCGCGAACCUAGGGAAGAUGAGCGAUACACCCUUAAAAGUGUUCGUUCCGCAUUCCCGGGGCGUCUCGUUCUCAUCGCGAGAAGAGGCGCACCAAGAGCGUACACGCUGGGACCCGAAAGAUGGUGAACUAUGCCUGGUCAGGACGAAGUCAGGGGAAACCCUGAUGGAGGUCCGUAGCGAUUCUGACGUGCAAAUCGAUCGUCGGAACUGGGUAUAGGGGCGAAAGACUAAUCGAACCAUCUAGUAGCUGGUUCCCUCCGAAGUUUCCCUCAGGAUAGCUGGCGCUCGUCGCGUACGAGUCUCAUCCGGUAAAGCGAAUGAUUAGAGGCAUUGGGGUCGAAACGACCUCAACCUAUUCUCAAACUUUAAAUGGGUGAGAUCUCCGGCUUGCUUAAAUAGUUGAAGCCGUGAGAUUCGGAUCAGAGUGCCAAGUGGGCCAUUUUUGGUAAGCAGAACUGGCGCUGUGGGAUGAACCAAACGUCGAGUUAAAGCGCCUAAAUCGACGCUUAUGGGAUACCAUGAAAGGCGUUGGUAACUUAAGACAGCAGGACGGUGGCCAUGGAAGUCGGAAUCCGCCAAGGAGUGUGUAACAACUCACCUGCCGAAGUUACUAGCCCUGAAAAUGGAUGGCGCUGAAGCGUCGUGCUAUACUCGACCGUCAGCGGCAUGUGCGAUCGUCGUUCGUUUCGGCGAGCGGCGAUCAUGAAGCCCUGACGAGUAGGAGGGUCGCGGCGGUGAGCGCAGAAGGGCUGGCCGCGAGGCCGUCUGGAGCCGCCGUCGGUGCAGAUCUUGGUGGUAGUAGCAAAUACUCCAGCGAGGCCCUGGAGGACUGACGUGGAGAAGGGUUUCGUGUGAACAGCCGUUGCACACGAGUCAGUCGAUCCUAAGCCCUAGGCGAAAGCCGAUGUCGAUGUGGUGUAGGUUAACUUUUAAGAACGUUGUGUGUUUUUUUAACGACGACCGACACGAACACACCCAUUGGGCGAAAGGUAUUCUGGUUCCUAUUCCGGAACCUGGCAGCGGAACCGAUC
rnacentral:rRNA from 1 species